rnacentral:lncRNA from 1 species
AUCCUAAUCAAGUUACUAACCCUUUCCAUCCUCACCUGUAAAAUGGGAGCAAUUCACAUACUCACUUACUUAUUUGGAAAUAUUCACCGAGAUCCUAGGAUGAGGUGGAUGCUGCUCUAUUCAUGAGGACUACAUCAGUGAACUAGACAGGAAAACAUCUACCUUCACAAAGCAUCCAUUCUCAUGGGUUUCAAAGAGAACAGAGACAAGCCCGUGCCCUGAAGCACGUCAGUGCUACCAGAGGAUCAAUACAAGUCAUUAUCCAGGGGAUAAAAACAAGCAAGUGGCAGAGUCAGGCCUGCACGGAGUCUCCAGACACCAGACACAAUUUUCUUCCUACCCCUCUGCCAGGCAGUCAACGAUGCUAUAUUCAUGACCUAACUUCCACAUCUUGCCAGCAUGUUCCAUGUGUAAUCCAGAGCUGUCUACCUAGGAUCACUGAAAAAGAAAAUUAUCCGAUGGAAGAGCCAUGAAGAGGAUACACACUGGCCAAUUGAACUAAAAAUAUCAACUAAACUGUUAACACCUACAGAGUAUAGUGUGAACACUGAAUUUUCAAAUCUGUUAAAUAAUGCAAUGCCUGAUACAUACUGAAUAUCCAUUUAAGUAUGUGCAUUUGUAGAUGUCUUAGCUGAGUCACCAGUAGAUUUAAGGGUGUUUUUAAAGUUACUGAACAAAUAUCCCAUCCCACAGUGGCAAUGACCAAAUAAGUGCAUAUAUAUAUAUUCUGAUUGUGAUCAUUGAAUGUAUCAAAAUAUAAUUAUUUUCCAACUUCGAUAUGAGUUUUCUUGAACAGCAG